UGACUCCUAUAGGGCGAUUGAUUUAGCGGCCGGAUUCGCCCUUGUGCCAGCAGCCGCGGUAAUACGUAGGUGGCAAGCGUUGUCCGGAUUUAUUGGGCGUAAGGCGAGCGCAGGCGGAAGAAUAAGUCUGAUGUGAAAGCCCUCGGUUUAACCGAGGAACUGCAUCGGAAACUGUUUUUCUUGAGUGCAGAAGAGGAGAGUGGAACUCCAUGUGUAGCGGUGGAAUGCGUAGAUAUAUGGAAGAACACCAGUGGCGAAGGCGGCUCUCUGGUCUGCAACUGACGCUGAGGCUCGAAAGCAUGGGUAGUGAACAGGAUUAGAUACCCUGGUAGUCCAUGCCGUAAACGAUGAGUGCUAAGUGUUGGGAGGUUUCCGCCUCUCAGUGCUGCAGCUAACGCAUUAAGCACUCCGCCUGGGGAGUACGACCGCAAGGUUGAAACUCAAAGGAAUUGACGGGGGCCCGCACAAGCGGUGGAGCAUGUGGUUUAAUUCGAAGCAACGCGAAGAACCUUACCAGGUCUUGACAUCUAGUGCCAUUUGUAGAGAUACAAAGUUCCCUUCGGGGACGCUAAGACAGGUGGUGCAUGGCUGUCGUCAGCUCGUGUCGUGAGAUGUUGGGUUAAGUCCCGCAACGAGCGCAACCCUUGUUAUUAGUUGCCAGCAUUAAGUUGGGCACUCUAAUGAGACUGCCGGUGACAAACCGGAGGAAGGUGGGGGAUGACGUCAAGUCAUCAUGCCCCUUAUGACCUGGGCUACACACGUGCUACAAUGGGGCAGUACAACGAGAAGCGAGCCUGCGAAGGCAAGCGAAUCUCUGAAAGCUGUUCUUCAGUUCGGGACUGCAGUCUGCAACUCGACUGCACGAAGCUGGG
rnacentral:rRNA from 1 species